UAUACUUUAGUGUAUGUUGCACUUGAAAUUUUGAAUUUCACAGAUUAGUUAAAUUCUAAGUAGUAUAA
rnacentral:tRNA from 1 species